rnacentral:rRNA from 1 species
GUGGGGAAUCUUGCGCAAUGGGCGAAAGCCUGACGCAGCCAUGCCGCGUGAAUGAUGAAGGUCUUAGGAUUGUAAAAUUCUUUCACCGGGGACGAUAAUGACGGUACCCGGAGAAGAAGCCCCGGCUAACUUCGUGCCAGCAGCCGCGGGAAUACGAAGGGGGCUAGCGUUGCUCGGAAUUACUGGGCGUAAAGGGCGCGUAGGCGGACAGUUUAGUCAGAGGUGAAAGCCCAGGGCUCAACCUUGGAAUUGCCUUUGAUACUGGCUGUCUUGAGUACGGGAGAGGUGAGUGGAACUCCGAGUGUAGAGGUGAAAUUCGUAGAUAUUCGGAAGAACACCAGUGGCGAAGGCGACUCACUGGCCCGUUACUGACGCUGAGGCGCGAAAGCGUGGGGAGCAAACAGGAUUAGAAACCCGGGUAGUCC